GCUCUGGAAGGGGGAGCAUCUCCCGGCAGUGCUGGGGCUGAGAGGGACACGUCCUCGGCUGAUGGCAGACAGUGCUCCAGCCCCCCAGAGAAGGGACUCCUCUUUUGGAGGCUGUUUUAACAGUUGAAGGGUUUGGGUCAGGUUUACUAAAGUUCUCAGACCGCUGAAUUCUGGAGUAAUAGCUGGAGGAACCUUGACUUCUGCCACAAUCCCAAAUUUUUACUUGGUUUUAGGAAUUAGGACUGUAAUGCUUUGAUGCACCCUUGGUCCAGUGUCUGGCCCAAUGUCUUUCUUUAAUGUGCUUAGGGAAGUAUUUACAUUAUUAAACAUUGUGAUGACAAAAGUGUCUUGGGAUCUUGCAAGGCUGUAUUGUUAAGUAAGGCAACAAGCAAUGUAACCCCUGGCAUCUGCUGAAGUAGCUAAAUGGAUCCCAUGAAAAUUCCUUU